rnacentral:rRNA from 1 species
AGAGUUUGAUCAUGACUCAGAACGAACGCUGGCGGCGUGCUUAACACAUGCAAGUCGAGUGCGCGUUUCUGUAGCAAUACAGGAAUGGCGCACGGCGCACGGGUGCGUAACACGUGGGUAAUCUGCCCUCUGAUGGGGAAUAACCCGCCGAAAGGCGGACUAAUUCCGCAUAACAUUCCUUGGACUCCGGUUCGAGGAUUCAAAGGCGUAAGUCGUCGGAGGUGGAGCCCGCGCACGAUUAGCUAGUUGGUAGGGUAACGGCCUACCAAGACUUUGAUCGUUAGCUGGUCUGAGAGGAUGGCCAGCCACACUGGAACUGAGACACGGUCCAGACUCCUACGGGAGGCAGCAGUGGGGAAUCUUGCACAAUGGGCGAAAGCCUGAUGCAGCGACGCCGCGUGGGGGAUGAAGCUUCUCGGAGUGUAAACCCCUUUCGACCCGGACGAAUGCCCCGCAAGGGGAGUGACGGUACGGGUAUAAGAAGCCCCGGCUAACUACGUGCCAGCAGCCGCGGUAAGACGUAGGGGGCCAGCGUUGUUCGGAAUUACUGGGUGUAAAGGGUUCGUAGGCGGUGUGGCAAGUCGGGAGUGAAAUCUCUGGACUCAACUCAGAGACUGCUUCCGAAACUGCUGUGCUUGAGUGUGGGAGAGGCGCGUGGAAUUGCAGGUGUAGCGGUGAAAUGCGUAGAUAACUGCAGGAACACCCGUGGCGAAAGCGGCGCGCUGGACCACUACUGACGCUGAGAACGAAAGCUAGGGGAGCAAACAGGAUUAGAUACCCUGGUAGUCCUAGCCCUAAACGAUCAGGACUUGGGGUGCCACCCGUUCGGGUGUCGUCCCGGAGCUAACGCGUUAAGUCCUGCACCUGGGGAGUACGGUCGCAAGACUGAAACUCAAGGAAUUGACGGGGCCCCGCACAAGCGGUGGAACAUGUGGUUCAUUUCGACGCUAC